AUGCAUGGCGUUUAUUCUGGAAUGAUGCAAAAUCAAUUCCUAUUUCUGAUUUCUGAGGAACUGACUGAUUGCUGUUACAAACCACCGAAGCCAGGAGUGGAAGAGAUCCAGGUAUCUAGCAGGAGACUUCCAGCAUUGGAAGGGGCAAAAACGGAUGUGGAGGAUUGGCAAGAAGGCACACUUGUUAAGGUUGUAACAGAAAGUGGGAAGAAACAGGAAUAAAGUAGGACAUCAGACAACCUGCAAUGAGGUAUGUACACUUCAUGUUACCAGAAAAAUCAAGGAGCCUGGUUAACCCUUUGUUAUCUCCUGCUGCAGACAAGCAGAUCAGCAAAAUCUUAGAUUCUCCUGCAAAGGAGUCUUUGAAAGAGGAACUGGGAGACCACAGUGGGAACAGAUUGCUCUGCCUGGCAUAAGCUUAUUUAAGAAGAAAGCUGAGACCUCAGUGAGUUGUAAUCCUGCUGAGAAAAUAACAUCUCUGGAAAAACAGGGCAGAUGACGACAAUAUCGAACCUUGUCUGGAGUUUUGUGUGGGGAUUGUUAUUCAGGGCACUCCAGGGUGCAGGUUUGGGUUUUGCAAAGCAAACAAGGAACAAACUUCAGGAGAAGUUUGGAUAGGGAAUUCAGGGAUCUAAAAAAUGUCCUAGUGAAGAUUACUGGUAACAUGUGACAUUCUGCUUGCCCUGGGUGUGGUAUAUUGUUGCAAACAAACAGAAAAAAACAAAAAAACCCAACCAAAACCCAAAUAGUGUAACAGCAGUUGCCAGAGGUGCUGGAAAAGGGUAAUACACAGGGCAAGGGCAAUGGGCUAUUACACAGGAUGGUGGACUCAAAGCUGGAGAAAAAAGGUUAGACGGGAAUACAGAAGUGAGGUAUGUUGUGUUGGGGAAAGGACUGAAGUGCAUAAUCCAUGAGGAAAUCACAUAGAUUCAACAGUUUGAUUAAAUUUUUACAGCUUUUAGUCUUACCGGUCAGAGAUGUCCAUCUUUUCAUUUGUCUCAUUUCUUACAAAAGGAUCGCCUCUUCAUACUCAGGUGCCUGUGGCUAUGGGAUGACAAUGAGACUGUGUGUUCAUAAAUGUGGAACUGACUUCAAGUGUCUGCUUUAAAACAAACCAAAUGUUGAUAGUCACAGGUACACAAACAGAGGAUUGCUCUGUGCUGCCAGCUCUACAGCAUUCUUUCCCAAAAAGAUAAGAAAAAGACCCUCAACUGUUCAUUGU
rnacentral:lncRNA from 1 species